GAUGAAGAACGCAGCGAAAUGCGAUAAGUAGUGUGAAUUGCAGAAUUCAGUGAAUCAUCGAGUCUUUGAACGCACAUUGCGCCCCCUGGUAUUCCGGGGGGCAUGCCUGUCCGAGCGUCAUUGCUGCCCUCAAGCACGGCUUGUGUGUUGGGCCCCGCCCCCCGGCUCCCGGGGGGCGGGCCCGAAAGGCAGCGGCGGCACCGCGUCCGGUCCUCGAGCGUAUGGGGCUUCGUCACCCGCUCCGUAGGCCCGGCCGGCGCCCGCCGGCGACCCCCCUCAAUCUUUUCAGGUUGACCUCGGAUCAGGUAGGGAUACCCGCUGAACUUAAGCAUAUCAAUAAGCGGAGGA
rnacentral:misc_RNA from 1 species